GCCCGAAUAGCUCAGCCGGUUAGAGCUCUUGACUGUUAAUCAGGGGGUCGUUGGUUCGAGUCCAACUUCGGGCGCCA
rnacentral:tRNA from 1 species